rnacentral:rRNA from 1 species
UUCAGCGGUUCUCGAGAGAGGGUCAUACCCGUUCCCAUUCCGAACACGGAAGUCAAGCCUCCCUUCGCCGAUGGUACCUGGCCCCCGGGCCCGGGAGAGUAGGGCGCCGCUGGAUUC